AUGUUUCCUUCCUUACUUAGCAUAUAUUGUUUACAUGAAGUUGAUAUUAGCAAUUGUGGUUUAAGUCAACUAUUCCCUGAGGCAAUUGGAUGCUUACACUGGUUAGAAAUGUUAAAUCUUGGAGGGAACAAUUUUGUGACACUGCCUAGCCUUGGGGAGCUUUUCAAGCUUGUAUAUUUGAACUUGGAGAAUUGCAAGAAAUUGGAAUAUUUUCCCGAGCUUCCUUUCCCUACUACAAUCGAGCAGGAUCUUCGAAAGAACAAAUAUUGGAAGAGAACAGGAUUGUUCAUUUUCAACUGUCCUAAAAUAAGUAGUAAGGAAAGAUGCAGUAGAAUGACAUUUCCAUGGAUAACACAAUUCAUUAAAGUGAACAAAUAA